rnacentral:rRNA from 1 species
GCGUCAGUUACUUCGGUAACUUUCCGAAAGGGGCGGUAAUACCAGAUAAUAUCAUUUGUCGAUAGGCAUUUGAUCAAAGAUUUAUCGGCGCGGGAGCGGCCUGCCUCCUAUCAGCUUGUUGGUGGGGUAACGGCUCACCAAGGCAACGACGGGUAGCGGGACUGAGAGGUUGGCCCGCGACAUCGGGACUGAGACACUGCCCGGACCUCCACGGAGGGCUGCAGUAACGGAUAUUGCGCAAUGGGCGAAAGCCUGACGCAGCGACGCCGCGUGUAGGAGGAAGUCCCUCGGGAUGUAAACUACUGUCAGGGGUAAGAAAGUGCGCUUCGGCGUAUUGAUCUCACCCAGAGGAAGUCACGGCUAACUUCGUGCCAGCAGCCGCGGUAAGACGAAGGUGGCAAGCGUUGUUCGGUAUUACUGGGCUUAAAGCGUGUGUAGGCGGAAAAGUAAGCGUUUUGUGAAAGCCCCCGGCUUAACCGGGGAAUUGCGUGACGAACUGCUUUUCUUGAGGCAAGUAGGGGUGCAUGGAACUCUUGGUGGAGCGGUGGAAUGCGUAGAUAUCAAGAGGAACGCCAGUGGAGAAAUCGGUGCACUGGGCUUGUCCUGACGCUGAGACACGAAAGCGUGGGGAGCGAACGGGAUUAGAUACCCCGGUAGUCCACGCCGUAAACGAUGCCUACUAGGUUGUGGUGGUUCUGACACCAGCACAGCCGAAGCAAAAGUGCUAAGUAGGCCGCCUGGGGAGUACGGUCGCAAGGCUAAAACUCAAAGGAAUUNUUU